CCUACGGGUGGCAGCAGUGGGGAAUAUUGGACAAUGGGGGGAACCCUGAUCCAGCCAUGCCGCGUGUGUGAAGAAGGCCCUCGGGUUGUAAAGCACUUUCAGUGAGGAAGAACGCCUGGUGGUUAAUACCCAUCAGGAAAGACAUCACUCACAGAAGAAGCACCGGCUAACUCCGUGCCAGCAGCCGCGGUAAUACGGAGGGUGCGAGCGUUAAUCGGAAUUACUGGGCGUAAAGCGCGCGUAGGUGGCUUGAUAAGCCGGUUGUGAAAGCCCCGGGCUCAACCUGGGAACGGCAUCCGGAACUGUCAAGCUAGAGUGCAGGAGAGGAAGGUAGAUUUCCCGGUGUAGCGGUGAAAUGCGUAGAGAUCGGGAGGAAUACCAGUGGCGAAGGCGGCCUUCUGGACUGACACUGACACUGAGGUGCGAAAGCGUGGGUAGCAAACAGGAUUAGAUACCCUAGUAGUC
rnacentral:rRNA from 1 species